GACGAACGCUGGCGGCGUGCUUAACACAUGCAAGUCGAACGGAAAGGCCCUGCUUUUGUGGGGUGCUCGAGUGGCGAACGGGUGAGUAACACGUGAGUAACCUGCCCUUAACUUUGGGAUAACUUCAGGAAACUGGGGCUAAUACCGGAUAGGAGCUCCUGCUGCAUGGCGGGGGUUGGAAAGUUUCGGCGGUUGGGGAUGGACUCGCGGCUUAUCAGCUUGUUGGUGGGGUAGUGGCUUACCAAGGCUUUGACGGGUAGCCGGCCUGAGAGGGUGACCGGCCACAUUGGGACUGAGAUACGGCCCAGACUCCUACGGGAGGCAGCAGUGGGGAAUAUUGCACAAUGGGCGGAAGCCUGAUGCAGCAACGCCGCGUGCGGGAUGACGGCCUUCGGGUUGUAAACCGCUUUCGCCUGUGACGAAGCGUGAGUGACGGUAAUGGGUAAAGAAGCACCGGCUAACUACGUG
rnacentral:rRNA from 1 species